UACAGAGGGGGCAAGCGUUAUUCGGAAUUAUUGGGCGUAAAGGGCGCGUAGGCGGCUUUGCAAGUGACGGGUGAAAUCCCUCGGCUUAACCGAGGAACUGCCUGUCAGACUGCAUGGCUUGAGACCAGGAGAGGUGAGUGGAAUUCCCAGUGUAGCGGUGAAAUGCGUAGAUAUUGGGAGGAACACCAGUGGCGAAGGCGGCUCACUGGACUGGUACUGACGCUGAUGCGCGAAAGCGUGGGAGCAAACAGG
rnacentral:rRNA from 1 species